GUGCUUGCUUCAGCAGUACAUAUACUAAAAUUGGAACUAUACGGAGAAGAUUAGCAUGGGCACUGUACAAAAUUCAUGGAGCAUUUCAUUUUUUU
ensembl:snRNA U6 U6 spliceosomal RNA